AAAGCAGGGAUUGUGUGUAUCGGUUUUGUGCUAUUGUUAAUGCAUUAUUCCGAAAGAUUUCCCUGCAACAUUAUCUUGAGAAAAUGGGCAGUUGUUUUUCAUUUUAUUCAAUUGAAAAUCACAACAAUCAUUUUCCCCACAUUUUUUAUUAUAUAUUUCUCUAUUUUAUGCUAAUUCAGUUUCUUUCUUAUGUUUGUGUAUAUCAGUUUUAUGUGAUGUUAAAGACUAUGAUGAUUGCUUCAUAUAUUCUGACACCUCUUGUAUGAGAUGGGUCUUUUCCAAAGAUUCAUUUUUGAGCACAUAAAGCAACUCUCUGAGUCCAUUUUUGUUUCUUAUGUUUAUGUUGGAAUAAUUGGUAUGAGCCUAAUAUUGCAAUUCUUUAAACAUUUAUUCAGUAUGUCAAAGAAUCUAUCGUUAGGCUAAAUUGAUUUUAUUUAUUUGUAUGUAUAUAUCUUUAUAUAUAUGUGCAGUCUAUCUUUAGCUCCAGAUAUCCUUUCUUAUAGUAGGAUUUUUUGGUGACAAGGUAGAUACAAAAUUGUUUAUGAAAUUUUUGAUUGGGUUAUUUGAUUUUAUUCAUUUUGGGAUGUGGAUUUGUUUGUUGAUUUUUGAAUAUAUGGUACAAUGUUGAAUGAUGAUAGCAAUCAUUCGGAUUCCCAAUGAUAAUAUAUAUGAUCUCACAAUCAAUUUCUGACAACAUUGUAUUCAUAAUUUCAUGUUUUUUCAUAUGAUAUUCAGAUUCUAUUACAAUUGUUGUCACAAUUAUUCUUCUGUUGUAUAAUUUUAAGUUUUUCUUUAGUGUUGGGCCAAUGAUGUUAUAACAUAUUUGCUACUCUUGAUGGGAAUGUCCCAUUUGAUGAUAUUUUUCCACCAAGAUCUCUGAGGCU